rnacentral:rRNA from 1 species
UGGAGGCAGCAGUGAGGAAUAUUGCAUAAUGGGCGCAAGCCUGAUGCAGCAACGCCGCGUGUGCGAUGAAGGCCUUCGGGUCGUAAAGCACUUUUAGAGCGGAUGAGGAAGGACAGUACGCUCUGAAUAAGCCUCGGCUAACUACGUGCCAGCAGCCGCGGUAAAACGUAGGAGGCGAGCGUUAUCCGGAUUUACUGGGCGUAAAGCGUGUGCAGGCGGUUGAGUAAGUUGGAUGUGAAAGCUCCUGGCCUAACUGGGAGAGGUCGUUCAAUACUACUUGACUCGAGAGUGGGAGAGGGAGGUGGAAUUCCGGGUGUAGUGGUGAAAUGCGUAGAUAUCCGGAGGAACACCAGUGGCGAAAGCGGCCUCCUGGCCCAUGUCUGACGCUCAUACACGAAAGCUAGGGGAGCGAACGGGAUUAGAUACCCCGGU